rnacentral:rRNA from 1 species
GACGAACCGAGCGAACGUUAUUCGGAAUCACUGGGCUUAAAGGGCGCGUAGGCGGGCCAUCAAGUCAGGGGUGAAAGCCCCCAGCUCAACUGGGGAAGUGCCUUUGAUACUGGUGGUCUCGAGGGGGAUAGGGGCAUGCGGAACUUCCGGUGGAGCGGUGAAAUGCGUAGAUAUCGGAAGGAACACCGGUGGCGAAAGCGGCGUGCUGGAUCCCUUCUGACGCUGAGGCGCGAAAGCGUGGGGAGCGAACAGG